AUUGAACGCUGGCGGCAUGCCUUACACAUGCAAGUCGAACGGCAGCGGACCUUCGGGUGCCGGCGAGUGGCGAACGGGUGAGUAAAGUAUCGGAACGUACCUUUCAGUGGGGGAUAACGUAGCGAAAGUUACGCUAAUACCGCAUAUUCUGUGAGCAGGAAAGCAAGGGACCUUCGGGCCUUGCGCUGAUAGAGCGGCCGAUAUCAGAUUAGCUAGUUGGUGGGGUAAAAGCUCACCAAGGCGACGAUCUGUAGCGGGGCUGAGAGGAUGAUCCGCCACAAGGGAACUGAGACACGGUCCAGACUCCUACGGGAGGCAGCAGUGGGGAAUUUUGGACAAUGAGGGCAGCCCAGAGCCAGCCAUGCCGCGUGAGUGAAGAAGGCCUUCGGGUUGUAAAGCACUUUCGGCCGGGAAGAAAUCGCAUAGGCUAAUACCCUGUGUGGAUGACGGUACCGGAAUAAGAAGCACCGGCUAACUACGUGCCAGCCGCCGCAGAA
rnacentral:rRNA from 1 species